rnacentral:lncRNA from 1 species
UGCGUAUUUCUUUUUGAGUAUAAGGAUACUUUGAGUGUAGCUAAUAGUGACAAGAUUUUCUCAAAAUAAUUUCCUUUAUUCCACUCAGAUCUAGUCUCAUCCUAAGAUAAAUAAUAUUAUUUUAUUUCAAUACUCGUAUGGGAUAUCAUUUUCUUUCAUACUCCAUAUUAUGGUAAAAAAUUACUCCCUCCGUCCCAGGAUAAAAGUCCUUAUUACUAUUUUGGAUUGUCCCAUGUUAAAUGUCCUCUUUCUUUUAAUAACCAAACUUUUACACAUUUUUUCCUAUUA